GCGCCGUAGUUAGAAGAAAGUAUUGAAUUCACCCGACAAACUCCGCAUAUGAUCAAUACUUCACUUACUGCGUUGUGUUUAAUAGGUAUUCGGAGAGUGAACCUGUUGUAUAGAUUCUAUAAGUGUUGUGCAUUCGAUCAAUGUCUUUUCUGUGCGUAAUAGAGCUUGAAAUCGUAACAAAGAUCAAUUAUUCGUAGUAAAAGAUCGAUGUAACCUUGAAAACUUCAUCUAAUAGGAUUAAAUGAUUAACUGGUUAAGUGAUUUCAACAGGGAAACCAGGAUAUCUGUGCUUUCUUGGGGAAACACGCUGUUGUUUUUGUAGUUUAAUCGAAGAUAAUGAUUGGGUCAGUGACUUGUUUACGGUAGUUGCAUUCGUUCUAUUUCAAAGAAACAAAAGAGAUUUCCAUAGGAAAACAACGGUGUCUUAUAUGAGAGGAUUUUUUCAGAAUGCGCAUCACCAUCAUGAGAGAAAGAUGGAAUAACUUGUAUGUGGAAUAACGUCUAAUUCAUAUGUACCUCCUUCGUCAUAUUAACAAGCGCAUACGUAAUUUGAACGGAUUUAUCAUUUAUCGCUAUAACGGAAACAAUGAAUUCAGUAAAUUAAUCGAGAAGUUUGUAACAUUCAUGUUAUCAAAAUAGUUGUGUAACGUAUUCAUGUUCACUCGCUGGGAUUCAUAUCAACAGCUGCACUUCGAUCUCAGGCCAGGAUUUCAUCACCAUGUAGGAUAAGUGCAAUUACCGCACUGAUCACAUUGAAGAACGCUGUAAAUUUAAGAACGUUUACGUUAAAUCUGAGGAACUUCGUGGCUGACGUCAUGGGCGUUGAACAGUCACACGAGACCCUACCCGUCCUAUACAAAGGACUAUCUGGAUGGAUGCAGGUAUUGGGCGGAUUUCGAGAAGGAGUAUUUCGCCAAGGGAACUUACCGCUACGCGUUCCGGGGAACAGUGCACGGGCAUGGCCCACGUGACGGAAGUAUCUGCGUUGCGAAGGUCUUAAAACGGAAGUACGCCAAAUACUUCGACAGAUGGCGUCCUGACUUCAACGCCAGCGUCAAGGCUCAUUAUUUCGCCACGAUCUUCACGCGUAACGUGCUUCCACAACUACGAAAAUUCGUUUCAACGACCGAAAUUGAGUUCAUCAUUCCGUUGAUCGCGAAAAUGGAUUCUAUUUCUCAUUUCAAAGUGCUCGGUUUGUUUUCCGUUAACGAGGACACUACGUACGUCACGCCGUACGAGUACGUCGCCAUCGAGCCGUAUCUGUACGGUCAGUUUGAGAAAUUCAACUCCAACGGGGGCUUUGAGGACUUCAGUGCUUUUUGUACUUAACACGUUCAGUCACUGGACGUGGCAGGCGAGCGGACACAAGUUCCUCGUAUGCGACCUCCAGGGAGUACAGAACGGCCGAAAGUACAUUCUGACAGACCCUUGCAUCCACUCUGUUGACGGGCGCUUCGGGAUGACGGACCUCGGCGUGGUGGGGAUGGAGAAGGUACUUUCGAAUCAUGUCUGUAACGCCAUGUGCUAUGCUCUGGCUCUGGAGAACCCCAUGGCAGGGCUGCGCCUCGGCGCCCGGAAGUCCCAAGCCACCGCCUACGUGUUCGAGCUGUCGGAGAGUGACAUCUACCGCGCUAACGAGGCUCGCACGCACUACUUCACACUAAUUGAAUCCGUUGUUCAAUGACGACAAGAAUAAGGAACGACGAAUUAAUAAUAUACGAAACUACUUUCGCCUAAACACAAAGUAUUGUGUUUAUUAUCCUUCAGUUUGUGCAGACAGUCAAUGUUUGUGAUGUUGUUGUGCAAUCUAUAGGAAUGCAAGAGGUGUGUGCAGGAAUCAAUUUUUUGAAAGUUUUAAGUUUAACUUGAUGGAAGUAUAGACAGGAAAAAUCGAUGGUCGUGUUCGUUUUUUUGGCAUAAUAUUUCCAAAACGCACGCUGAUUUUUCCACGUCAGGUGAUAAAUCCAAACCGCAUAACGUUGGGCGGCUUUGUACUGCGAGCGAGUAUUAAUAACUCAGUGUUUAUAAUGACAGUAUUUAUAAAGGCAAUUUGCUCUAUUAAAUGAGCGCUUGCAAUCCGUCCUCAAGGCCCAUUUUCUCAUUUUCUUUGUCUGAACAAAACUUUUUCAGUGACUUGAUGCUGAACCUUGAAGGCUGUGCUUUUUAAAUUUAUUCAUUUGGGUUGAAUUUUGUAUUUCUCGGAAUGCAUGUUUGUUUAUAGCGACCAUUGCAAUUCAUUUCAUAUAAUUUUAAGAAAGUGUAUGACAAUCUUAUAAUUAUUUUAAAACAUUAUAGACAAGACAAGACCAGACACUUAAUUGAGACUUGUACUUGUAUUAUAAAAGCAAAUAUUUGAUAAAUAUUAUUAUGUCCAUUUCAAUAAAAUGUGUGCUGAUUUCAGGAACGUAGGUUGAUGACAAUACACGUUUAUGUUCUACCCACAGUUCGUACAACCAUGUCGUAAUUACUGUAAAAUCAUUUGAGUCGCGUUCUGAGAAAACUGGACAUAAUACAUGCGCGUAAAGUGUCGUCCCAGAUUAGCCUGUGUAGUCCGCACAGGCUAAUCAAGGAAGACACUUUCCGCCUAAAUUGGAUUUUGCUUAGAAGAGACUUCAUUUAAACGAAAAAUGUCAUAAAAGCGGAAAGUGUAGUCCCUGAUUAGCCUGUUCGGUCUGCACAGGCUAAUCUGGGACGACACUUUUCGCACAAGCAUUAACCCUAGUUUUCUCAGAACGCAGAUCAUUUGUAUUCGUUGGCAUGAACUUGUCUGAAUUUUUUUUAACGACUUAAUCGUGGGCAAUGAUUGGUUUCCGAUUUGGAAAAAAAACGGAAUUUGCGUCAAUCAUUUUUAAAUGUGCUUGAAAAGUUGUCUUAAGUUCGUGGAUUAACAUAUAAAAUAUAAAAUAGACCACUGCUUAUGUACUUAAAAUAUUUGUCACACUUCUUUUUUUUUAACGACCACAUUUGACAAAUAAAACAGUUGUGCUACAUAAUCACUAUAAUUAUAAUAUGAUUAAAAAUAAUAGAAUAUAAAAAAAUGAGAUUCGGUAUCGCAUCAUGUUUUUUUUAAAAUAGAAAUUCUAAUAAAAUGCAACUUAGAGUAAAGUUUGAUUCUUGAGCCAAGAAUUUUUCAACGUUCAGGUGCACCUAUUAUAUUUGUCGUUAUCGGUGUUUUAUUACAAAAUGUUCCCCAUACAAAAGUCGAUAAAAAAUACAUAUGAUGUGUGCGGUUUUGUUAUGUACUUAAUGUGUUUUAAUUGAAAAAUGUGUGUUUUAUGGAGGAGUGAGGAAUAUUUUAAUAUACAUGCAAUAGAAAAUUUGAAGAUGUAUGUUAUACUUGCCUGCGAUAAAUCUAA